CUAAGAAUCUUCCGCAAUGGGCGAAAGCCUGACGGAGCGACGCCGCGUGAACGAAGAAGGCCGUGAGGUUGUAAAGUUCUUUUCGGGAGGGGGAAUNACCGUGGCAGGGAAUGGCCGCGGGAUGACGUGAAUCCCGGAACAAGCCCCGGCUAACUACGUGCCAGCAGCCGCGGUAACACGUAGGGGGCGAGCGUUGUUCGGAAUCAUUGGGCGUAAAGGGCGUGCAGGCGGCACUGCAAGUCCGGCGUGAAAGACCCCGGCCCAACCGGGGGGGUGCGCUGGAAACUGCGGUGCUUGAGUACAGGAGGGGAUGCCGGAAUUCCAGGUGUAGGGGUGAAAUCUGUAGAUAUCUGGAAGAACACCGAUGGCGAAGGCAGGCAUCUGGCCAUGUACUGACGCUGAGACGCGAAGGUGCGGGGAGCAAACAGGUUUAGAUACCCUGGUAGUCCGCACAGUAAACGAUGUGCACCAGGUGGCGGGGGUAGAACCCCCGGUACCGUAGCAAACGCAUUAAGUGCACCGCCUGGGGAGUAUGCUCGCAAGGGUG
rnacentral:rRNA from 1 species